GCCUACGGGCGGCUGCAGUGGGGAAUCUUGCACAAUGGGGGAAACCCUGAUGCAGCGACGCCGCGUGAGCGAUGAAGCCCUUCGGGGUGUAAAGCUCUUUCGGCAGGAACGAUAAUGACGGUACCUGAAGAAGAAGCUGCGGCUAACUACGUGCCAGCAGCCGCGGUAAUACGUAGGCAGCGAGCGUUGUUCGGAGUUACUGGGCGUAAAGAGUGCGUAGGUGGUUCUCUAAGUUUGGUGUGAAAUCUCCCGGCUCAACUGGGAGGGUGCGCCGAAAACUGGAGGACUCGAGUGUGGGAGAGGAAAGCGGAAUUCCUGGUGUAGCGGUGAAAUGCGUAGAUAUCAGGAGGAACACCUGCGGUGUAGACGGCUUUCUGGACCACUACUGACACUGAGGCACGAAAGCGUGGGGAGCAAACAGGAUUAGAUACCCUGGUAGUCCA
rnacentral:rRNA from 1 species